UUCACCUGCUCCCUGACUCCACUUCCUUCACCUCUUAUCUAUGGUAUAAUGCUUUCAUAAUGCUACAGCUAUCAUUCUCAUUCUUAUUCAUCCAACAUUUCUUGAGGGAGACUGAAGACAUAGCUUCAGGUUCAUUUCAUCAGAUUCAAAAAAAUGAGGUGACAUGUCUACCUUAUGAAUCUUCCCUUGCCUUUGAAGUACAAGUCAUCACAGCUUCUCCAACCGAAAGGAAUAUCUUGUCAUGGCCUAUGAGCUCUGUGAACUUGGCUAAAUGGAGCUUCUGAAUCACCACUGGGCCGGGAUUUGCAAGAACAAGCUGAAGAAAAGACGUAAAUACUUGUAAGCUUUACUGAUCUUCCAUUUUCUUUUGAAACAACAGUGUUAUCAAUGCUAUUUCGGCUGUUGUAUAAGGUACUAACCUGGAUUUCAUGUUUUUGGAGGCUCCUAUACAGUUCUUCAAAGGCAUGGAUGCCACUUGUGUCGAUGUCUGUCACAGCUGCACAUACAAUCAGGCAGCGAAAAGAUCAAUGUCGUAAAUAUCAGAUCAAGAUUGUACAAUAAGAAUGAGAAAUAAAUGUAAGGGGCUCCUCACGCGACAUUUCGACUAUCAAGAAAUUUAUUUGGGGUAGAUUUUUUGCUCUCAGUUGCUCUUCUUCAUCUCUUAACCAUCUCAGGAUCCUGCAAUAGGUGAACAACCAUUGCAAUGAUAGAUUCUAGUAAUCCAGUUUUAAAGUAAAAAGUAAACACACAAAUUUUAAGAAUCAAAGAAAAUUGGCCUGGUGAUGUUCCUGGGUUCAGUCAAUGUGUUCCUCAGAUUUAUGUACUGAACUCAUUAGAAUGACUUCUAGUGAGUUUAGUAAAAGUCCUGACAUUUAUUCACUUUGCCGUUGGGUCCUAAUGUACAGUUAAACUAUGUCCAACUGAGAUCUGUGGGUUCUUCAUGCUAUUCUAGCUUAAAGAUGUGCUACCAAUCUGAAUUAGCAACUAUAAUUAGUAACAUCUGAGUUAUAAAGAUUUACCUCUCCUUGACAUAGUUAGAGUUUGUGAAGUAGAUAGCAGAGUCAACUCUCACUAUCAAAACUCCUGGAACCUUGGUUGCCUCUGGGUAUUGUACGAUGUUUCGGUAUACCAUUGUCGAAGGAAGAUUCCCGAGUAAAGCUGUUCUUGGCCUUGUUACUUGCAGAAGGACCUUCGCAAGCGAUAUAGAAACCUAUUUGUGCAGGAGAGAAAAAGAAA